rnacentral:rRNA from 1 species
AUUGAACGCUGGCGGCAUGCCUUACACAUGCAAGUCGAACGGCAGCACGGGUGCUUGCCCCUGGUGGCGAGUGGCGAACGGGUGAGUAAUACAUCGGAACAUGUCCUGUAGUGGGGGAUAGCCCGGCGAAAGCCGGAUUAAUACCGCAUACGAUCCACGGAUGAAAGCGGGGGACCUUCGGGCCUCGCGCUAUAGGGUUGGCCGAUGGCUGAUUAGCUAGUUGGUGGGGUAAAGGCCUACCAAGGCGACGAUCAGUAGCUGGUCUGAGAGGACGACCAGCCACACUGGGACUGAGACACGGCCCAGACUCCUACGGGAGGCAGCAGUGGGGAAUUUUGGACAAUGGGCGAAAGCCUGAUCCAGCAAUGCCGCGUGUGUGAAGAAGGCCUUCGGGUUGUAAAGCACUUUUGUCCGGAAAGAAAUUCUUGACUCUAAUACAGUCGGGGGAUGACGGUACCGGAAGAAUAAGCACCGGCUAACUACGUG